AACGAACGCUGGCGGCAUGCCUAACACAUGCAAGUCGAACGAGACCUUCGGGUCUAGUGGCGCACGGGUGCGUAACGCGUGGGAAUCUGCCCUUGGGUUCGGAAUAACAGCGAGAAAUUGCUGCUAAUACCGGAUGAUGACGUAAGUCCAAAGAUUUAUCGCCCAAGGAUGAGCCCGCGUAGGAUUAGCUAGUUGGUGAGGUAAAGGCUCACCAAGGCGACGAUCCUUAGCUGGUCUGAGAGGAUGAUCAGCCACACUGGGACUGAGACACGGCCCAGACUCCUACGGGAGGCAGCAGUGGGGAAUAUUGGACAAUGGGCGAAAGCCUGAUCCAGCAAUGCCGCGUGAGUGAUGAAGGCCUUAGGGUUGUAAAGCUCUUUCGCCAGGGAAGAUAAUGACGGUACCUGGAAAGAAGCCUCGGCUAACUCCGUGCCAGCAGCCGCG
rnacentral:rRNA from 1 species